CGGGGGCCCGCACAAGCGGUGGAGCAUGUGGUUUAAUUCGAUGCAACGCGAAGAACCUUACCAGGUCUUGACAUCCCUCUGAAGUAUGCUUAGCAGCAUAUGUCCUUCGGGACAGGGGAGACAGGUGGUGCAUGGUUGUCGUCAGCUCGUGUCGUGAGAUGUUGGGUUAAGUCCCGCAACGAGCGCAACCCUUGUGUUUAGUUGCCAACAGGUUAAGCUGUGCACUCUAAACAGACUGCCGUGGAUAACACGGAGGAAGGUGGGGAUGACGUCAAAUCAUCAUGCCCCUUAUGAUCUGGGCUACACACGUGCUACAAUGGUCGGUACAACGGGCAGCGAAAGAGUAAUCUGGAGCGAAUCCUAAAAAGCCGAUCCCAGUUCGGAUUGUGGGCUGAAACUCGCCCACAUGAAGUUGGAGUUGCUAGUAAUCGCGAAUCAGAAUGUCGCGGUGAAUGCGUUCCCGGGUCUU
rnacentral:rRNA from 1 species